rnacentral:rRNA from 1 species
CACGUAGGGCGCAAGCGUUGUCCGGAAUUAUUGGGCGUAAAGAGCUCGUAGGCGGUCUGUUGCGUCCGCUGUGAAAACCCGGGGCUUAACCCCUGGCUUGCAGUGGAUACGGACAGACUAGAGGUAGGUAGGGGAGAAUGGAAUUCCCGGUGUAGCGGUGAAAUGCGCAGAUAUCGGGAGGAACACCGGUGGCGAAGGCGGUUCUCUGGGCCGGUACCGACGCUGAGGAGCGAAAGCGUGGGGAGCGAACAGG